rnacentral:rRNA from 1 species
GUUUAUCAAAAACAUGUCUUUUAGGAAUAUAUUAAAAGUCUAAUCUGCCCACUGAAUAAAUUUAAAUGGCCGCAGUAUUUUAACUGUGCAAAGGUAGCAUAAUCAUUAGUCUUUUAAUUGGAGGCUGGAAUGAAUGAUUGAAUGAGAUAUAAACUGUUUCAUAAAAAUUUAUAGUAUAAUUUUAUUUUUUAGUUAAAAAGCUAAAAUUUAAUUAAAAGACGAGAAGACCCUAUAAAUCUUUAUAUUUUAUUGGGGUGAUAUUAAAAUUUAAUUAACUUUUAAUAAAUUAUGUACAUUAAUUUAUGUUUUUUUGAUCCAUAAUUAAUGAUUAAAAAAUUAAGUUACUUUAGGGAUAACAGCGUAAUUUUUUUUGAUAGUUCAUAUUGAUAAAAAAGAUUGCGACCUCGAUGU